AGGAUGAACGCUGGCGGCGUGCUUAACACAUGCAAGUCGAACGAUGAAGGCUGGAGCUUGCUCUGGCUGGAUUAGUGGCGAACGGGUGAGUAACACGUGAGUAACCUGCCCCAGACUCUGGGAUAAGCGCUGGAAACGGCGUCUAAUACCGGAUACGAGCUUCCACCGCAUGGUGAGGAGCUGGAAAGAUUUCGGUCUGGGAUGGACUCGCGGCCUAUCAGCUUGUUGGUGAGGUAAUGGCUCACCAAGGCGACGACGGGUAGCCGGCCUGAGAGGGUGACCGGCCACACGUGGACUGAGACCGACGGCCACGACUCCGUACGGGAGGCGAGCGAGGUAGGGGAAUAGUUGACAACGAAGUGGGACGACGAACGCCUGAAUGACAGACCAACGGCCGCGGUGGAGGGAACGACGGUCCGUUCGGUUAGUAACUACGUUUAGUAAGGUAGAAGCGUAGGUGUUUAUUCUACUU
rnacentral:rRNA from 1 species